rfam:Mesocricetus auratus contig191433, whole genome shotgun sequence.
ACAAAGGCUCUUUUCAGAGCCACCUCCUUUCUCACUUGUAAGUCUGU